GUUUUAAGUGUUUUUUU
rnacentral:sRNA from 1 species